AGGAUAAACGCUGGCGGCGUGCCUAACACAUGCAAGUCGAACGUCUCUUCUUUCGGGAAGAGGAGUGGCGGACGGGUGAGGAACACGUGGGAACCUGCCCUUUAGUGAGGAAUACCGGCGAGAAAUCGCCGACAAGACCGCAUAGCCCUCUUUGAUGAGAGUCAAAGAAGGAAAGCUUCGCAAGAGGCGCUAGAGGAGGGGCCUGCGUCCGAUUAGCUAGUUGGUGGGGUAAGAGCCUACCAAGGCGUCGAUCGGUAGCUGGUCUGAGAGGACGAUCAGCCACACUGGGAUUGAGAACGGCCCAGACUCCUACGGGGGGCAGCAGUGAGGAAUUUUCGUCAAUGGGGGCAACCCUGAACGAGCAACGCCGCGUGCAGGAAGAAGGUUUUCGGAUCGUAAACUGCUUUUCUCGGGGAAGAGAACGGACGGUACCCGAGGAAUCAGCCCCGGCUAACUACGCGCCAGCAGCCGC
rnacentral:rRNA from 1 species